rnacentral:rRNA from 1 species
GACGAACGCUGGCGGCGUGCCUAAUACAUGCAAGUUGAGCGCUGAAGGUUGGUACUUGUACCAACUGGAUGAGCAGCGAACGGGUGAGUAACGCGUGGGGAAUCUGCCUUUGAGCGGGGGACAACAUUUGGAAACGAAUGCUAAUACCGCAUAAAAACUUUAAACACAAGUUUUAAGUUUGAAAGAUGCAAUUGCAUCACUCAAAGAUGAUCCCGCGUUGUAUUAGCUAGUUGGUGAGGUAAAGGCUCACCAAGGCGAUGAUACAUAGCCGACCUGAGAGGGUGAUCGGCCACAUUGGGACUGCGACACGGCCCAAACUCCUUCGGGAGGCAGCAGUAGGGAAUCUUCGGCAAUGGACGAAAGUCUGACCGAGCAACGCCGCGUGAGUGAAGAAGGUUUUCGGAUCGUAAAACUCUGUUGGUAGAGAAGAACGUUGGUGAGAGUGGAAAGCUCAUCAAGUGACGGUAACUACCCAGAAAGGGACGGCUAACUACGUG